AACGCGAAGAACCUUACCAGGUCUUGACAUCCUCUGACAACCCUAGAGAUAGGGCUUUCCCUUCGGGGACAGAGUGACAGGUGGUGCAUGGUUGUCGUCAGCUCGUGUCGUGAGAUGUUGGGUUAAGUCCCGCAACGAGCGCAACCCUUGAUCUUAGUUGCCAGCAUUCAGUUGGGCACUCUAAGGUGACUGCCGGUGACAAACCGGAGGAAGGUGGGGAUGACGUCAAAUCAUCAUGCCCCUUAUGACCUGGGCUACACACGUGCUACAAUGGACAGAACAAAGGGCUGCGAGACCGCAAGGUUUAGCCAAUCCCAUAAAUCUGUUCUCAGUUCGGAUCGCAGUCUGCAACUCGACUGCGUGAAGCUGGAAUCGCUAGUAAUCGCGGAUCAGCAUGCCGCGGUGAAUACGUUCCCGGGUCUUGUACACACCG
rnacentral:rRNA from 1 species